rnacentral:rRNA from 1 species
UACGAAGGGGGCUAGCGUUGCUCGGAAUCACUGGGCGUAAAGCGCACGUAGGCGGCUUGUUAAGUCAGGGGUGAAAUCCUGGAGCUCAACUCCAGAACUGCCUUUGAUACUGGCGAGCUCGAGUCCGGGAGAGGUGAGUGGAACUGCGAGUGUAGAGGUGAAAUUCGUAGAUAUUCGCAAGAACACCAGUGGCGAAGGCGGCUCGCUGGGACGUGACUGACGCUGAGACGCGAAAGCGUGGGGAGCAAACAGGG